UACGUAGGGGGCAAGCGUUGUCCGGAAUCAUUGGGCGUAAAGCGCGUGUAGGCGGCUCGAUAAGUCCGCUCUGAAAGUCCAGGGCUCAACCCUGGGAUGCGGGUGGAUACUGUCGGGCUCGAGUCCGGAAGAGGCGAGUGGAAUUCCGGGUGGAGUGGUGAAAUGCGUAGAGAUCCGGAGGAACACCAAAGGCGAAGGCAGUGUCCUGGGGAGUACCUGACGCUCAGGUGCGAAAGCCAGGGGAGCGAACGGG
rnacentral:rRNA from 1 species